rnacentral:rRNA from 1 species
AACGAACGCUGGCGGCAGGCUUAACACAUGCAAGUCGAGCGAAGACUUCGGUCUUAGCGGCGGACGGGUGAGUAACGCGUGGGAACGUGCCCUUCUCUACGGAACAGUCCUGGGAAACUGGGUUUAAUACCGUAUACGCCCUUUUGGGGAAAGAUUUAUCGGAGAAGGAUCGGCCCGCGUUGGAUUAGGUAGUUGGUGAGGUAACGGCCCACCAAGGCGACGAUCAGUAGCUGGUCUGAGAGGAUGAUCAGCCACACUGGGACUGAGACACGGCCCAGACUCCUACGGGAGGCAGCAGUGGGGAAUAUUGGACAAUGGGCGCAAGCCUGAUCCAGCCAUGCCGCGUGAGUGAUGAAGGCCUUAGGGUUGUAAAGCUCUUUCAGCUGGGAAGAUAAUGACGGUACCAGCAGAAGAAGCCCCGGCUAACUCCGUGCCAGCAGCCGCUGUAACAC